GUGAAUGCAGGUGCUCCAUGCUGGUUUGAGGUUUCACUCUCUCUAAAUUUCUUAUUUCAUUUGUGUCUUGUAACUUGAUUUCAUUCUGCUGACUGCUUGUGACUGCUGCUGACCACUGCUGACUGUUGUCAUUCUGAUUGAUAACUCUGACCAACUCUGACUGUUAUACUUAUCUAUAACAAUUAACAAACUUAUAACAAAUCUAAGUACAACUCUGACUGACAAUGAACAGAAAUUCUCUUCCACGAAAAUCUUAUUUACCUCAUGUCGUCAUCAUCGGGAUAAUUGGGGGGUGCUCUCUAGUAAGCUGGUACUUGGAUCAUGUAGAAAAGAGAGGACAAGCCAGAUUGGAAGAAAGGUACAGAAUGGAACGUGAAAAAGAAAACAAGUAAUUAUCUUGGAAAAAAAGAUACCUGAUCAUUAAUAAGUUAUGUAAUUUCCUAAUUCAAUAAAAAUAUGAAAACAAUUGACUAAUUAAAAAUGAAAAAAAAAUAAAGUUUUAUUCAUUGAA